GCGAAUAUUUUUGUCAACUAGUUAACCCGUCUGGCUCCUCUCUGAACCCCCGGUGAAUGAAUUUUCCUAACCUGCUAAACCAUUGACAAUUUCAAGUCACCGAUUCAAUAGUAUCUUGUGCUACAAAAGAAUAAAAUAAAAUAAAAUAAAAUAAAACGACCGUCAAGAUAUAAAUUAAUUAACAAAAUCACGACGAAGCCUUUUGCAGAAUCUUUUAUAUAAGGCAUGGUUCUAUGACUCUCGAAACAAUCAAAACAAGAGAGUCAUGGCAAAGAGCAAGGUUCUUGUUGUUGGGGCUACUGGUUAUAUCGGUAAGAGAAUUGUGAAGGCAAGCAUAGACCAAGGCCAUAUAACCUACGUCCUUCAACGUCCUGAGACAGGCCUUGACAUUGAUAAGCUACAGCUGCUAUUGUCAUUUAAAAAGCAAGGAGCUCGCCUUGUUGAGGGUUCAUUUUCCGAUCAGCAAAGCCUUGUGGAGGCAGUGAAGAAGGUUGAUGUUGUCAUUUGCACCAUGUCCGGGGUGCAUUUUAAGAGCCACAACAUUUUGAUGCAGCUCAAGCUCGUGGAUGCCAUCAAAGAAGCAGGAAACGUGAAGGUACUUGAAUAUUCAUGAUAAUUCAAUUUGUACUCUAAGCUCUUAAUGGCUAUCUCUGCAUAUUUUUUUCUACUCCUUCGGGCUAUCCUGCAUGCAAGUGAUGCCGUUCAAAGUUAGCUAUUAGUUUUUAACAUGGAGGUGUUUCGUUGUUGUUGUUAAAACUGGUAGCUAGCAAGAAGCACUCUGGAAUACUGAAUAAUGGCUCCACAUAAUUUAACUCUUUCCUGAGAUAACAUUAGAAACAAUAGCAUAUGACCUAGUUAAUUACCUUCUGGCGAUGAUCUAAUCGCUUAAAAUAAGAUAGCGGUGGAACUCCACCAUUUAAAGCGAAACAAAGCAUGAUAUGCCUGAUCACUUUAGUCGUUGUAUUAUAAUCUAUUUGCUUAUGGCAAAGGCCCAAAUUAAAGGCUUGUGCAAUAUACUUUCCACUUUAAAACAAUAUCCUAAUUAAGUUCAUUUAAGUGACUACUUCUACCCAUUGGCCACUUUAGGAUAUUAAUUAAUAAUGACGAUCAAAUUGUAGGUUUCUUAAGGAUUUCUAACCAAAAUAACAAUAAGUUAAUGUAAGAUAACAUAAAAAAUCAUUGUCACGCAUGCUUAAUUUUGUAUUAUCUUACUAGGGUACUAAUUAAGAAGUCUAAACAUACUUCUAUUGAGUUGUGGCAGCGUUUCUUGCCUUCGGAAUUUGGUAUGGACCCAGCAAGAAUGGAGCAUGCACUAGCACCAGGAAGAGAAACAUUUGAUCAGAAAAUGAUAGUAAGAAAGGCAAUUGAGGAUGCUAAGAUCCCCUUCACUUAUGUAUCCGCUAGCUGCUUUGCGGG
rnacentral:lncRNA from 1 species